GAAAUUUUCAGUGUCUUUAACAGUCAAGAUUUCUAAAAAUAAUCCUAAUUUAUGGACGUAGAUGAUUUGAAAUUUGGUUUCGAAUUGAGAUGCAUGUUAAAUUCUCUUUUGCUGUGAUUUUGCAUUGAUCAUGAAACCUUCAACACAUUUCGGUUUUAUCUUUCCUUAUUUUAUUUUCAAUACCCAAAGAAGCUGUGGAUCAUUUGACAUGAUUAGAGAUAGAUAAUCUAGGAAACCCUGCAAUGACCCGUGAGAGAAAUUGAUGGCAACAUAGGCCAAAUCCUCCAUUACCAAUUGCUUGAAUAUUGCGCUUUAAAUUUGACUUUUCUGUUUAUGAUUAUACUUGCUGAACAAAAACCUCAUUCAUCACGGGUCCCUCCCCAAAUGAUCAAAGGGUAAAGAACAGGUCAAAAUUUUGGGGGUCUACUAGUAAUAGUACUCCAAGAUAUAGAAAUUAGGACGGUGUGCCUGUAAAAGUUGCUGAGGUGGGCCAAUAUUGACCUAUAAGACUUUGCCUUUUAGUCUACUUUAUUUGUACAUGUGCAAUGUUGUCUUACUUGUUUUGCUUGUUAGAGUAAUGAAAACAAAAGUUGCUCAUGAAACAUCUUUAACCACCCACCUUUGGUGAUUAUCAAAGAGGAGUAGGGGUAGUAGGGGGACCCCUGCAAAUUGGGUGUUUGAGAGUCAUGUGCCCUUGAUUUCACUUAUUAUAAUGUUGACUUCUUUUAUAUCUAUAUAUAUAUAUGUAUAUAUAUAUAUAUAUAUUCUUCUGGGUUUAAUAGAUUGUGUAUUAUUAUUUCUUUUUUUUAUAUUUUUUUUCUUUA
rnacentral:lncRNA from 1 species